rnacentral:rRNA from 1 species
AAUGAACGUUGGCGGCGUGGAUUAGGCAUGCAAGUCGAGCGAGAACCCAGCAAUGGGGGACAGCGGCGAAAGGGACAGUAAUGUGUAGAUUAUCUGCCCUCGGGUCCGGGAUAGCUGCGGGAAACUGCAGGUAAUACCGGAUAACAUCUCCGGAUCAAAGGUGUGAUUCCGCCCGAGGAUGAGUCUGCAUCCUAUUAGCUUGUUGGUGGGGUAAUGGCCUACCAAGGCUUUGAUGGGUAGCGGGUGUGAGAGCACGACCCGCGUCAUUGGGACUGAGACACUGCCCAGACACCUACGGGUGGCUGCAGUCGAGAAUCUUCGGCGAAUGGGCGCAAGACCUCGACCGACGCGACGCCGCCGUGUGGGA